UGCGACAAAACUCGAGUUAGACAAGGAAGGUCGGAACUAAGUGGCCACAGCAACAAUGCACCAGCAAGCAGGGAGCGUGAUAGGAAGAGCUAAAGAGGAAUCGGGAAACCCUGGAGAUGGGUUUCACCAUGUUUCCCAGCCUUGUCUCAAACUCCUGACCUCAAGUGAUCCGCCGUCUUGGGUCUUCGAAAGUGCUGGGACAGCAGGAGUGAGCCACCGCAUCUGGCCCGGAAAGUGUUUUGGAGCGUAGAAAAAUGCAAAUUAUAGGGCUGCCUUCAAGGAUCCCGAAGGACCCACAGAUUUGCCGCAUCAGGCUCCUAUGCACGCCGGUAAUUUGAUGUGUUGAGAUGCACUGCCCAGUGCGUUGUUUUUACUGGAGGAGCUUGUGUGCGGAGCUCCUUGCUAGUGUAUGUGUUGGGAUGGGAGAGAAGUGCGGGAGAACUAUGAGAUAAUGCCCCCUGAUCCUCAGGGUCUUAGGAGGUAUGGUCGGAGAGGCUAAGCUAAAGUAUGAAAGCCGUGUGUAGGCCCUUCUGUGUAGUGCAGAAAAGGUAGAGGUAUGUGAUUUGAAAGAGUAGGGAUGACAUGGAGGAUGCGACUCCUGGUUGGAUCUAUAAACUAAUGUCUUUGGAACGAAAGCACAUGCAACCUUUUGAAAAUGGAUGGGUGAUAAUGAAAGACCAUUCCAGAGAAGAAACACCAUGGUGCAAAGGCUCAAGAGGCAUACUGGAAGUACAAUGAAGAGAGCAAUCUAACUGAAAUGGGAAAAAAAGAAACA
rnacentral:lncRNA from 1 species